rnacentral:rRNA from 1 species
AACGAACGCUGGCGGCAUGCCUAACACAUGCAAGUCGAACGCCCCGCAAGGGGAGUGGCGCACGGGUGAGUAACGCGUGGGAAACUACCCAGCAGUUGGGGAUAACCCCGGGAAACUAGGGCGAAAACCGAAUACGUCCUAAGGGGGAAAGAUUUAUCGCGGUUGGAGGGGGCCGCGUCGGAUUGGCUAGUUGGGGAGGUAACGGCCCACCACGCCGACGAUCCGUAGCUGGUCUGAGAGGAUGAUCAGCCACACUGGGACUUAGACACGGCCCAGACUCCUACGGGAGGCAGCAGUGGGGAAUAUUGGACAAUGGGGGCAACCCUGAUCCAGCAAUGCCGCGUGAGUGAUGAAGGCCUUAGGGUUGUAAAGCUCUUUUACCGGGGACGAUGAUGACGGUACCCGGAGAAUAAGCCCCGGCUAACUUCGUGCCAGCCGCCGCAGUAA